rnacentral:lncRNA from 1 species
UUCUUAUUAUUAAAAAAAAAAAAAAACAGAAUCUUCAAAAUGUUAGAGCAAAAUUAAUCCACACGCUACCACAAUUUCUCUUAUUAUCAAAAUCUCCAUAAUUCAAUAAAGAACUCCACAGAUUCAACAAACAAUCUUCAUCAUGAUGAGAUCGUAAAAACAACACAUCAACAACAAAAAAAAAAAACACUAAAACCCAAAACCCAAAAUUCAAAAUUCAAAACCUCUGAAAUAAACCAAAACAACAAAAACAAACUCACCUCUUGUAAAAACAACAUUCGAACAACGAUCCGAGGAAUCAAAUUGCGAUCACGUAACGAAAAUUCCGAGGUAACCGAUUUUUUUCUGACAGAGAAAAAAAUGUCUAAGAUCUAAACAGAAUUUGCAACUGAAAACACAAAAUCCUCAAGUUAUAUUUUUUUGUUCUUUGUUCUUGAAUUUUGAUUAUUUUUUAUUUAAAAUGAAGAGAAAAGAAAAGAAAAGAAAAAAAGAAAUAAUUGUUAUGUGAUUGAGAUGGAAGAAAACAAAAGAAUAGAUAGAAUAGUAGAUAGAAGAGUUUAAGACACAAAAACCCACCAAUACCCAUGAAACAGUACCCUUAAACCCUUUAUAGCUACGUUGUUAAC